GACGAACGCUGGCGGCGUGCUUAACACAUGCAAGUCGAACGGAAAGGCCCUGCUUUUGUCGGGUGCUCGAGUGGCGAACGGGUGAGUAACACGUGAGUAACCUGCCCUUGACUUUGGGAUAACUUCAGGAAACUGGGGCUAAUACCGGAUAGGAGCUCCUGCUGCAUGGUGGGGGUUGGAAAGUUUCGGCGGUUGGGGAUGGACUCGCGGCUUAUCAGCUUGUUGGUGGGGUAGUGGCUUACCAAGGCUUUGACGGGUAGCCGGCCUGAGAGGGUGACCGGCCACAUUGGGACUGAGGUACGGCCCAGACUCCUACGGGAGGCAGCAGUGGGGAAUAUUGCACAAUGGGCGGAAGCCUGAUGCAGCAACGCCGCGUGCGGGAUGACGGCCUUCGGGUUGUAAACCGCUUUCGCCUGUGACGAAGCGUGAGUGACGGUAAUGGGUAAAGAAGCACCGGCUAACUACGUG
rnacentral:rRNA from 1 species